AAUCGCCCAGCUGUCCCCUCAGACGGCAGCCCGUGGCCGUCCCCUUCGCUGUGGGAUGCGGGGAUUUGGGGCAGCUGAAGGAGUCGGGGCCCCCACCACCACAGCGCUGCUGCCCUCACAGGGGCCGGGCCUCCCCGAGCCUCCAGUGCUUGUUGAGGUUUCAGUCUGCAGUCUGCUGAUCCGAAAGAAAGAAGGCGGCUUUUGGAGGACAUAAUCAUUGCAAGUCGAGCUGCUGCUGAACCUCCCCUUCCAACAUCCAGCAGGUUUGUUCUGCAGGCCCCGAUGAUGGCACAGGCAUGAAAGAGCCCAGAGCUCGUCGCUGGGGAGAGGCUGCGUAUGGCGUUGUGAAGGGAGAGAUGGAGGAGGGGUUUGAGCAGCGCUGUGCAAGAAUGAACGGCUGGCAGGAGUCGGGCAGCGGUACUGCAGCUCCUCUGGCAGCUUUGCAGCUCAGUAGGGAAGCAGAAGAUGUGGAUGUGAAAGAAGAAGUCCGUUGCUGGGACGUUCCCCUGUUCUUCCCCCAGCUGUCCCCUUGCCUCAGCCUGGAUUCCCCUUGUGUUCCUGUAGGAUUCCCUUCCAUCCCCCUGGCUGCCCCUUGCUUUCCCCAAGGCUGCCCUUUCCUUUCUCAUGACAGCCCACCCAUCAUUCCCUCAGAGCCCCAAUGUCCCCCCCAGUGUUUCCCAGCAAGACCCCUUGAGACACCCUAUAGCCCCCCACAGAGCCCUGGAGCCCCUCGAGGACCCCCUCAGACCCAGUACACCUCCCCCGUAGCUGGCCCAUACCCACAUGGAGCCCCACAGUCCCCAGCAGCACCCCAUGUGCCCCACUGGGCUUCCCCGGAAUCCUCCUAUUUCCUCCCUCAGACCUCCUUUACACCUCCAAGAUCCCCCCUGGGAACUCGCUGACCCCCAUGUUCUUUGACAGUACCUCCAUCACCAUCCAGUGAACCCCAUAGCCCACCUUUGGCCUCUCCUCCCCCUGACCUGCCUCCAGAUCUUGUACAACCUCACAGUGCUGUGGCAUGGAUGGCUUCUGCAGGUGAGGAAUGGGGAGCUGGAGAAGGUGUAAGGCACAGAUGUGGGUGAAAGUGAAGUGGUUGGCCCUGGGGAUACUGGGGAACACAGAUCAGAACAUGGGAGGAUUUGGGGAGGAUAAGGGGAUGUGGACCACAGCCUACAGGAGCAGAGUGCUUCUCAGGAGGAGGCAAGGUGUGAGUUACAGGUGGGACUUGUGUGUGCGGGGACGUGGGGUGGCAUGGGUACGUGGGGAGUCUGGGGGCUCGUGGGGAGCGGUUUGGGGUCAGAAUGGAGGAUGUGGGGUGGUGUUGGCGUGCAUUCAUUGAUUUCUUCCUGAGAGGGGAUUGGGGUUCCCUGUGGCCCAAAGGUGGAGCCCUCAUCGGUAACCGCACAUGAGCCCAGAACCCCAUAUAACUCCACGUGACCCAAGGCUCCACAUAUCCCAUAACCUUGUGAGCACAGUAAGCCCAUAUGAGGCUGUGGGCAGGGAUGGGUCUGUUCCUGGCUUGUUCAGGGGGUACUAUAAGGUGGCUCUGGGGCCGCUGUAGGUCAGCAGCCUGUAUAUUCCCCUGAUGCUCAUCUUGCCCUCAUCUUGGGGGGCAAAAUGGAGGUCAAGGGGUUUGUUGGGGGCUAAGGAAGAGGUUCCAUGAGUGUAUCCCAUAGCUGCCCAGAGCAUCCCCAGAGCCAUCCUAGAGGAGCAGUUCCAGAGCAGCCCCAUCAUUGCCCAUAGCUCGUAGCCAGCAGCAGUUCCACCAGCAGCAGUGUGUUGGGUAAAGACAGCUCCUAAGUGUGGCUCUGCUGCAAGGCUGCCCCAAAGUGCUCCUGAAGCCCUCCCAUAGGCGUCUUUUAACUGUCCCACAACCCUGUGAGGCUUCCCCACAUCCCAGCACAUCCACGAACGUGCCUGUGGGGUGUGCGAGAAACGCUCACAUCCCUGAUGUUCCACCAGGCACAGCUCUCAGUGCAGCAGCAAAGCUCAUUCCUGAUUGCUGUGGCAUUACUGCACUCUCUUCUGUGAGCUCCUUCUGCUCCUGUAGCUCUCCUCCCAUGGCACCCACUGCUCUCCCCCUUGGCUGGGCACUGCAGGCUCACAGUCUCCACCACGCAUCCGCUGUGCCGUUUUUCCAGAGGAGGUCUAUGGCCAACGUGUUCCUUUCGGGCUGAUUUUGUGCUUUUCUAUGCAGACAGGCAGGCAGGAUUUCUUGCAGCUGUUGCACGUGCUGGGUCUCAUGCUCCGUCCUGCGGCUGUGCCUUAUCUCGUGUGCACUCUCCACCUCCCCCUGGUCAGAACGUCCUGGCCCUGCUGUGCUCUGCUCAGCAUCUGUCUGCUGAACGACGACACAGCUGUCACACUGAGCCUGCCUUGUGCUAUCCCUGCAGAUGUUCGGUGAUUUCCUCUGCCACUCUCCCACCCGUAAGCGCCCGGGUGAUUCCCAGCAGCACACAGCUGGCACACAGAGCCAUGCUGACCACGGCAGGGUGCAGCUUCUUGUUGCAGUCCCGUAGCGGUGGGUGGCCGUGCCAAAGGGGGAUCCCACCGCUGCUGCUCUCCAUCCUUCUGUGCUCGUUCUGCACCACCGUGCAUUCCAUCCUUCCUCCUCGUGCUGCGCUGCCCAUUUCUCGGGGUCGUUGCAGCAGCUGCUGCAAGUGCUGAUGUUGGAGCAGUUUCUUCCCCACCGCGAGAUCCCUUCCAAGAAGCACUGCCCCUACUGCUGCAACGGCCCCAGUCUGGGACGCCCUUUUGUAAGGGGUUGCGUUGUUUGUUCUGCAGCUGACUUGGAUUUCUUCUCCCACUGUCCCGUGAAGGAGUUGAUUUGCUUCAGUCCAUCCCUGUUCCAUUCCUGGCUCGGGUAUCCCUCGUGGCCAUGCAGCACCGCAGCAGCAAAGCUCCAAUCCCUUCCCCGGUCUCAGUGGGUUCAGUUUGUUCUGUUCUCAUCCACUUACAGAAACAGAAGCUACCAAGCCACCAAACCCUGGGACAGGUAUUUCCCUACAGAAGCAUUCAUGUCCUUCUCCUGGCCCCUUUGGCCAGCUCCCAGCUCUCCAAACUGAGGCGUACGGCUGCAGCCCACCCCAUGGCUUCUCUGGGGCAGCUGUGGGGCAGCCCCACCUGGAGGAGGAGAUGCCUUUUCCUAGCAUGCAGCUGGUUCUAUGCCCACAUGGGGUGAGGACGUGGGGUCGUGGGUCACAUAGGAGUCCUGCAGGGUCACAGAGUUACGGGGUGAUGUGGGGCUAUGGGGUCAGAUGGGGUUCUGAAUCACAGUGAUAGGGUCAGAUUGGAUGGUAGGGACAGAUGGGGUGACAUGGAGUUAUGGAUCACAUGGGUUGUAUGGUCGGGGUGAGGUGGGGGCAAGGAUCCCAGAUUUAUGGGCCACAUGGCGUCAGUUCGCAGCAUGAUGGGGGCAGGAAGAGUCAGGGAGUCACAGGGUCAUGUGGGGGUAUGGUUCCCAUCAGGGCUGUGGGUCACGUGCAGCCAUGGGGUCACGCACAUACAGGGCGAUGAGGUCAUCUUGGGUUAUGGCUCAUGUGGGGUAACGGCUCAGGGCCCCACUUUUGGGCCACAGGGACGCCCAGUCCCCUCUCAGGAUGAAAUGAAACCACUGCAAACUCUGCCCACCCCACCCCCCUUUUUACCUCAAACCGCUCCCCACAUCCUCCCAUACUCUCUACGUCCCCAUACUAGCCCAUGCCCCUGUGUCCCACCUGCAGCCCACGUCUUGUUUUCUCCUGAACAGCAUUCUGCUCCUGCAGCCUGUGUUCCCACAUCCCUUAAUGUCCCUAUAUCCUCCAAACACACCCCCAGAGAGCCCUAUAGCUCCUCAAGGACCUUCUCAGACUCAGCACAUUUCCCCCACAGAGAAGCUGGGCCAUCACAGACUUCUGCAGUCCCCAGCAGCAGCACACAUCCCCCUCUGAGCUCACACUGAACCCCCUUGUUUUCUUCCUCACACCUCCCUUACGCCCUCAGUCCUCUCCUGGGUCCUCAGAGUUCCACAGUCCGUGACAGGACCCCCAUUACCAUCCCAGGAUCCCCAUAUCCCACCGACGAGGAACCCCACAGCAAAACACAUCUCAGGAUGGGGCUCCAGUGGUGCACCAAUACAUUCAUUAAAGAGAGGAGAAUGAAUGAGCGUAAAGGGGGGCCUUUCCUCCUGAUGUUGCCCACCGCCUGUGUGUUGGCUGUGCCAUGCCAGCAGCAUUUUGUCCUCGAGCUGUGAGUGCAGGUAUGCGUGCAUACGGGGGUGUGCAGAGUUGGUGCUGAACAUCAGAGCGUGCAUUGCGCUUGGCUGUGUGCACGGUGCUUGCAGGUGAAAGUUUUGCAUCUGUGUGCAUGCACAUGGCAGUGUGCAAGGCUGGAGCAGUGGUCGAGUCUUCGUGCUCGUGGGUGUGCAGAGGGAUGGGGUGCACGCAUGUGAAGACAGCGCCAUGGGAGGCACUGCAAAGGAAACAGCUCCAUCCCAGCCACAACAGUGAUAGGCAGGCAGGCACUGGGGAGGGCUGCACGGCAGAGGGACGCCCUCUGAGUGCCACAACAUGGAGCGCUGUCUGCAAGCAGAACAGUGCCGGGAUGGCAGCCUGGUGGUCCUAAGCUGCAGAGAUGCUGCUCUGGACCAACAGCCUGUCAUUUUUUCAGAAAACGCCGUCCUUUUGCUGAACUUUGCUCAUUACAUACUUGUCAUUAAUGAAAAAAUGCUUGGUGCUGCCCUGGGAAACUCGGCAAUCUCCACAGCAUUGCUCUCCAAGUUAGCACGCUCAUGGCCAGGCUGUGUUCCCUGCAGCUCUUUGCACAUGCUUUGCAGACAGUCUGUCUGUGGGCAGUGCAAAGGACUGCUGCCUCCGUUGCAUCACUGGACGGCAGCAUUCGCUGACGGAGCUGUGGCAGUUCUGAGCGAGCGCCGCGAGACCAAUAACGAGGAGGUGGUGCAGCAGCUCUCCGAGUGCCACUGGACAAAUCAGGCCGUGCGCUCUCUGUAAAUCUAUAAAUUUGACUGGUGUUUAUUGACUACGUUUGAAGGUGGAGUGCUGAGAUGGGCGGCACUCAGCGCUGCCCUGUAACGCCGCACACUGCAGAAGCUGCUGCCUGCUGACGCUCCUCCUCUCAGUCCUUCAGCUGCAGCUUCUGCAUCAUCUCCACAAGGCUGUCCACUGCGGAGGCCUGGGAAGAAACGGAGCGAGGGUAGAAACAGGACACCACUUCCCUCGGGAUUUUACAGUCUCUUCCUUUCAUGUGUGACAGAUGGAGGCCCUGAGAACAACAAGAGCCGUGUCUGUGUUCACCAAGGACUCACCUCUGCACGUGCAGCGGCAGCUCUGAGGGCAGCCUUCUUCAGCUCCACUCUCCUCUCUUUCUGUCGCUGUCUUCUUGCUAUAAGGCAAAAAAAAGAGAUGAAUGCAUUUUGUCUACAGUGAAAUGGCAGAAACAUACAUGCCGUACAAGCAUAAGGCAGCAAAAAGACGGAGGAAAUGGGACUAGGAAGCCUCCCAGUGAAUGACAUUUCCAGGAGGCGUGCAGAAGACUGCCAUAGAGUUAACGGGAAGAGACAGGGUUACACGUUCUGGCACCUCACUGCCUUUGGACUUUGUAGCCUUCCACUCUUUUCCCCUCCAAGGAGAAGGAAAAAGCAAAGCCAACCCUAAGCAAACUCAGUGUGCUCGCACAGGGAAGCGCCUCAGCACGGCGGGUACCACAGCACCUUCUCACCUCUUUGCUUGGAGCUCCGCGCUGCAGCAGGCCCAGGGUGUGCUGCUGGAGCCGGCACGCCGUCUCCACUCGGCCCCCUCACUCUCUUAUUGGAAGGCUGCUGAGCUGCUGUUGGUUUCCCUUCCUCCAAGGCCUUGCGUUUACAUCCAGCCAGGGUGUUGGAGAUAGAGCGGGGGCACACGGCUGGGGAAGGUCUUCCCCCUGUGCUGGGACCUGCUCUUCUAGGAAGACCUGCAGCCUGCAGAGGAGCUUGAGCUGCUGCUGGUUGAGAAGCUCUCUCAGUAUGGAUCUGCUGCCCCACUUUCACAUAGAUUUUGCCAUUUGGCUCAGCACCAAUCUCUGUUAAGAAAGGAAAAAUAAGGAGAUUUAAUGAGAGCCCAACACUACUUUCAGUCUGGAAAACGGGUCACAAUCCUGGGACAUCUCAUCUCGAGUGCUCACGGUCAUGGAUCUUAGGAUCUAAGCUGAACUGUGGGUUCACAUUUCUAAUCAGCACAAGAAUGCUAACUGUACAUGCCAGGGAUUAAGACCACGACCAACACACAACGGCCACAGUCCCAGGAAAGGACGGUCAGAAAGCCUCACUAGAGAGACAGUGCACCAAACCCAGGUGCCUGCUGUGUGUCUGUACCUCUCUUGGGUGCUGUGCCACACUGGGCGCUUCUGCCUUGCCUUUCUGCAAGGCUGCGCUUUGAUGGAAGGCCGCUCGCAUCAGCUUCUGGCAGAAAGGAGACAAGACAGACAUGAAGAGCAUCUCUGUGGCGGAAGAUUUGAGCACAGCCAACCACAGUCUUCUAAUCCUCAAGAGCAGUUUCUUCAGCUUGCCUUUCUGCUGCUACAACAUUAUGCCGCUUCUGCAGUCAGCACAGCUUGCAAGAGCUUCUUACCUGCGGAGGCUUUGCGUUUCCAGCCUUGCCCAGCACCAUUCCAUGGACGCGCAGGCUCCGUCCCUACAACAACAGAUGGUGUGUUGAUUUCACAGACACCAGCAGGCAGCAGAAGUACUGCCCAGUAUGCCCACGUCCCCCCAGAAAACAGAAAGAGGCUACUUGGACAGC